GCUGGAGGUAUCAGAAGUGCGAAUGCUGACAUAAGUAACGAUAAAGCGGGUGAAAAGCCCGCUCGCCGGAAGACCAAGGGUUCCUGUCCAACGUUAAUCGGGGCAGGGUGAGUCGACCCCUAAGGCGAGGCCGAAAGGCGUAGUCGAUGGGAAACAGGUUAAUAUUCCUGUACUUGGUGUUACUGCGAAGGGGGGACGGAGAAGGCUAUGUUGGCCGGGCGACGGUUGUCCCGGUUUAAGCGUGUAGGCUGGUUUUCCAGGCAAAUCCGGAAAAUCAAGGCUGAGGCGUGAUGACGAGGCACUACGGUGCUGAAGCAACAAAUGCCCUGCUUCCAGGAAAAGCCUCUAAGCAUCAGGUAACAUCAAAUCGUACCCCAAACCGACACAGGUGGUCAGGUAGAGAAUACCAAGGCGCUUGAGAGAACUCGGGUGAAGGAACUAGGCAAAAUGGUGCCGUAACUUCGGGAGAAGGCACGCUGAUAUGUAGGUGAAGUCCCUCGCGGAUGGAGCUGAAAUCAGUCGAAGAUACCAGCUGGCUGCAACUGUUUAUUAAAAACACAGCACUGUGCAAACACGAAAGUGGACGUAUACGGUGUGACGCCUGCCCGGUGCCGGAAGGUUAAUUGAUGGGGUCAGCGCAAGCGAAGCUCUUGAUCGAAGCCCCGGUAAACGGCGGCCGUAACUAUAACGGUCCUAAGGUAGCGAAAUUCCUUGUCGGGUAAGUUCCGACCUGCACGAAUGGCGUAAUGAUGGCCAGGCUGUCUCCACCCGAGACUCAGUGAAAUUGAACUCGCUGUGAAGAUGCAGUGUACCCGCGGCAAGACGGAAAGACCCCGUGAACCUUUACUAUAGCUUGACACUGAACAUUGAGCCUUGAUGUGUAGGAUAGGUGGGAGGCUUUGAAGUGUGGACGCCAGUCUGCAUGGAGCCGACCUUGAAAUACCACCCUUUAAUGUUUGAUGUUCUAACGUGGACCCGUAAUCCGGGUUGCGGACAGUGUCUGGUGGGUAGUUUGACUGGGGCGGUCUCCUCCUAAAGAGUAACGGAGGAGCACGAAGGUUGGCUAAUCCUGGUCGGACAUCAGGAGGUUAGUGCAAUGGCAUAAGCCAGCUUGACUGCGAGCGUGACGGCGCGAGCAGGUGCGAAAGCAGGUCAUAGUGAUCCGGUGGUUCUGAAUGGAAGGGCCAUCGCUCAACGGAUAAAAGGUACUCCGGGGAUAACAGGCUGAUACCGCCCAAGAGUUCAUAUCGACGGCGGUGUUUGGCACCUCGAUGUCGGCUCAUCACAUCCUGGGGCUGAAGUAGGUCCCAAGGGUAUGGCUGUUCGCCAUUUAAAGUGGUACGCGAGCUGGGUUUAGAACGUCGUGAGACAGUUCGGUCCCUAUCUGCCGUGGGCGCUGGAGAACUGAGGGGGGCUGCUCCUAGUACGAGAGGACCGGAGUGGACGCAUCACUGGUGUUCGGGUUGUCAUGCCAAUGGCACUGCCCGGUAGCUAAAUGCGGAAGAGAUAAGUGCUGAAAGCAUCUAAGCACGAAACUUGCCCCGAGAUGAGUUCUCCCUGACUCCUUGAGAGUCCUGAAGGAACGUUGAAGACGACGACGUUGAUAGGCCGGGUGUGUAAGCGCAGCGAUGCGUUGAGCUAACCGGUACUAAUGAACCGUGAGGCUUAACCUU
rnacentral:rRNA from 1 species